ACCCACCGCUGCGAUCUGCCUAUGACCCCCAUCGCAAUUCGUUGCGCCGGCACCCAUCCUCUUCUCUCCCGUCUUCAACCCUCCACCCACAGCCCCAAUCUGCCCAACCGUGCCCGGCCCCGCCCACCGCCGCGAUCUGCCUCGCCGUCUCCUUCCCUCUACCCACUGUGUCUGGCCCCCGCAACGAUCUGCCCCACCGCGCCCCGCCCCUUCCACCGCCAUGAUCAGGUUCACCGGCUCUUCCUUCCCCCACCGCGAUUCGUCGUCCAGCCUCAAGUGACUCUCUCAUUUCCCUGCCGCGGCGAUUUGAAAGCACCCUCAUCGAUUCUCUGACCUUCCCCUCCCCUCUCAUCGAUUAUCUGACCUUCCCCUCCCCGCCGCCAUUAGCCAUGGAAACAAAUUGAAUGUGUUAGUCAACCAUGGAUUCGCCUCGCCGGCACCCACCGCGAAUCGCCGCCCCCUAGAUCCCCAAAUCCUCACCGCCUCUUUGCGAUUUUCGGCAACCACGACAGCCAUGGCCGCCGAUCUACCCCUCCCACCACCAGAAAACCAGAAAUUGAUCUGCCACCUCCCUUCCCCCAUAUGAUUUUUGGUUCUAGGUGCCUGGUCCAGAACCGCCGCUCGCCAGCCGCUGUGUUGCAGUCGCCCACUCCUAUUCUCACUUCAACUCUUGCGUUGUGGAGCCAUUUUACAUUGCAUUAGAGGUAAACAUAGAAAGUCUUUGCCUAUCCUUAAUUGUUAAUGGUGCUUAGGUUCAACAAGUGAGUGCUCUUCUUGAAUCCUGACUCAAUUUGGUGGCUAUGUGUAGAUUAGUUGCUUUGCAUGUUGAAAUUGUAAUGAUUCUAAAUUUUUUUUGUAGGAUUUUAUUAUUCCAGAUUUGCUUAUCACCGUUUUGGUUUAUUUUACUGGUGUAAAUCAGAGUUCAAUUCAUCCAGGACUGAAUCGAAUACUUGCAUUGCUCUGUUGAUACUGUAUCAAUUUUAUUGCAUCAUACAGGACUAAGACUGUGCAUGUUAGGCUUGAUUUGUCAACAGAACCUUCUUCGUUUGUUUUUGUAGAUGUUAAAUUGUCUCUUACUGUAUUAGGACUUAUGAGGUUUUUCAUUUUUAU